CCUGCCCUGCACGCGGUGCAGAGGCACGCAAUGCCUUCUGUUUUUAUACAGCAAAUAUGAGAAAAGUAUCUUUUAUUUCUCCAAGCUGAUGAUUUACAGAAUUUCACAGCAGUUUUGCAUUAGAGGACUGGACGCAUCUGUGCCACCUUCUCUUUCUCAGCACUGCUGGUCUUUUCUGCUCCUGUUCACCUGCUGUUAAGCUCACACGUCCUGAAUCCCUCGCAUGAAGGUGGAAGAAGGGACCUGAGCAGAAGAGUCCUACUUUCUCAGUUUUGCCAAAGAGAUCUCAGAUUAGAGCACUGGCAUUGCACGUGGUUUGGAAUGUUUCUUGAGCAUGAAAGGCCUGUGCACAGAAGCCCUAAGGAGUGGGCUAGGCAGAGCUCUUCUCCCAACUGGCUGAGACACAGCUGUUUGGUGUUAGGACAAACCCCUAGGAGAGAUGAAAGGUUCUAGGAGACUGCAAGCCCCCUGGCUGAUCUACAGCUCACACAUGUUGUUAAUUAAAGCAUCACUGAUUUCAUGCACCUGGCUGAGCUCUUUAGUGGAAGGCAGAAACUGGGAAGUUACUCUGUUUGUGUGGUGUUGUACUCCAGAACAAAAGCAGCAAAAUGGAGAUGAUUUGUACACAUUCCAGUUUACUGAUUUCAGUGAGCGCAGCACCAGGUAUAUGCAGCUUUGUUAACUUCAGUGGACAUUUGCAGUUAACAACCAUUCCCUUGGAAGAUGCUGCACAUCGAUGACUUCGCGAUGCACCAGUCAGCUGUUCGGCUGGAUACCCCGCCUGGACUCUUCAGGAAUUUUUGGAGGGUUUUUUUUAUUUCUGAAUCACAUCAAAAGAUUUCCUGCGAACCACAACACAGUGGGGAUCUUGUGAAUUUCAAGCCCUGCGAGUUUAAAUGCUUCCAGGAGUUGAUGUCACUAACCAGUGGUUUUAGGCUUGACCGUCUAAAUUCUCACUUAUGCCACAGACAGUUUGAAUGGCUGCCAUUUAGAAUGCGAUCACCAGCAGCGAGGAGGGUGCAACGUCUGGGGUUUCACCAUGCUGUGAAUAGUUUCUUGUGGUUUGAAAGAUGUUACGUGCUUCUUUUCAAGAAAACUUCACUCUCAACUUGAAGAUGCUUCGAAAAGACAGGAUCAUUUGCCUGACAGGUUUUAGCCACGGUAACAGGUAGAUGCUUUUAUCUGGAUCACAGACCUACUGCAAAUUUAUUUUGUAAUUGGAGAGGUGCAGUCUGUUUCACAAUUUCUAUUUGGAAGUUCAAGAUGGUGGAAGAUGCUUAUGGCAGAGGGAAAAUGGUAAAGAUGGCAGAUGAAUCCUCAGCAGUCUGAGUGCUAUACUUGAGUCAUUCUUGGACCUCACUAUCCCCUCUUACGAAAACAUCUGAUUUGGGAUAUCAAAAAGCUCUACAGCCAGAUGAGUCACACUCAUUGCCAUCCAGAACGGCACUCUCCGAGGCCUGUGAAACAAUAAGCCACAGGUCUCCGUUUAGGGACUAUGACAGGAAUACACAGUGUGAGGAGGUGGAAGAAAUUGCUGUCUUACUUUUCCCGAAGAUAAAUUAUUCAGUUGACUGCCCUGGAAUUACAUCAAUACGUGCAACACUACAUACUGCUUAAGUGUGCUUGCAUCACCCAAUUGUUCUGCAAGACUUAAGCACAGAAAAACUGGAAGACUUAAGGAAAAUGCUCGAGCGUGGGGAUGCGUUAUGAAACUUUGGACGUGGAAGGGGACAGAAGAUUUGCCAGUCUCUCAAGAAACAGAAACUUUCAAGUUCCGAAUUUCUGGGAUUGCCGUACGGGAGCUAAAAUGACCAAUCCUGCAAAGAGAGAAAACCCCCAGCUUUCCACUGAGGCUUACAGGGAUACUGACCGUUUUGACGAGGACAAGUAGUGCUCCCAUUAUGCAGUGGACACACUGGCCGAGACGCAUUCUUGGAUUGAGCUUAACUAGCAUCAACAACUGCAGAGCUGUUACAAGAAGUCCAGAGAAUAAAGGAUGAAGAGGAUAUGAAUGACCACCCACAAGCCCAAGUUCUGAGCCGUGUCAAUGAGAAAAAGAAGGAAGUCAAAAGGUCAGACUGUCUACAUUUGAAUGGACUAGUGCUAUUUGAAAUAUAUUUAAGACUUGUACAAUUUUUAAAAUAACAUAAGCAUUGGUAUUGCUAAAUAUUCCAGGCCCCGUACUAAAGAAAGAACAUCCCUAAAUUCUAGGAACUAUCUGGAAAUAGUAGCAGUUUUCACGUUUGAUCGCAGUACAAAAAUGGCAAGCAGAGAGGUUUGAAAUCAGUGUAUUAAAUAUAGCUCAUCAAAAAUAGUACUUCAAUCUUCUCUAAAGUACUAAAAUGUCAAAGUUAAGGCUGAGUUUGCCAGCUUCAUGGAUGUAUCUGCAUAGCCAUUAUAAGCUGUUUUUCAGGCUUGGUCACACGGAACCAAUUAGUGGCAUCUGCCUUCACAAUGAGUAGCACUGUACUCCAGAAGGGUCCCACUGAGUAAGUUGCUACUCAUAUUGAGCUGAGUACAUCAGGAUCUAACAAUUAGUAGAAUAUAAAUAAUACAUUGAUUCCCCCAUCGUGGCAGCUUACCAAGGAAAAUGCCUCAAAAGCCAUGAAAUAUGAUUCUUAUUCAAGAAUCUUAGCUAUUGCAGAAAAUAACCUCUCACUUCAUCUAAACAGCAGGAGU